AAUCUGUAUGAGGAUUAUCAAUUUCGAAGAACCCCGUACAGAUGUCAUCUAAUGUUUCAAUUUAUUGAAUUGAAUAAAUGCACUAUUGUUGUAUGUGCAACACAUGGAAAAAAACGUACUUUCUUUGGAAGAAAAAGCGAUUAGCAUUCACGCGUCCGAAAGAUCUUACGAUAUUUAUCUCGCUGUAAUUUUCAAAUUAGAAUUACUUCCGCUAAUUUAUAUAAGCUAAAGACACAAUAGUGAGAGUGAUUUAAAUUCGAACAGUUGUUCCAUGAACCAAUUGGCACAGAGACACUUCUGUAGUGUCCCCAGAUCUAGGUACAAAUGAGCCUUUCAUAAAUUCUGGAUCAAUUCGUCUCUUUCUGGCCAGCAAAGACACCGAGUUGUUGAAGGAAGGAAGGAAGGAUUUCAUUUCCGAGGAUCCACGAAAGGGGAUCAAUUGUGUGAAUAAAUUUUAUCGAAUUGGAAAAAAAGCAGCCCUGUCAGUUCGUUCGAUUAUCCAGAGUAACUGACUUUUCCUGAUGGUGUAUAAGAUCAGAAAUAUGGACAGAUAACACUUGUUGUUGGCAACUUAUAUUUUUCCUUAAGGUGCAGAGGAAUCCUAAUGAUGUUAUUAGUGAUAAACAUCGCUUUGAUAUUUUUUAAAAGUAUGCAUGUAGGCAUUUCAUAAUUCUCCAUUUAACUUAUACAAUGUUAAUAAGAAAAGGACAGAAUUUCCUGUGUGAGUACAUUAAAGAUGUCACAUG